CCGAAGCUGGCGGCAGCCUAGCUUACAGUCGAACGGAUCCCCGGGAUUAAUGGCGGACGGGUGAUUCGGGAACGUGCCCUUUGGUUCGGAACAACUCAGGGAAACUUGAGCUAAUACCGGAUGUGCCCUUCGGGGGAAAGAUUUAUCGCCAUUGUGAGCGGCCCGCUGUCUGAUUACGCUAGUUGGGUGGGGUAAAGUGCCCACCAAUGGCGACGAAUCAGUCUAGCUGGUCUGAGAGUGGAUGAUCAGCCACAUUGGGGACUUGAGACACUCGGCCCAAACUCCAUACGUGUGAGUGCAGCAGCUGGUGGAACAUCUUGUCUGCAAUGUGGCGAAAAGACCUGAAACGCAUGCCAUUGCCUGCGUUGAAUAUGAUGAAGUGCUUCUUAGGAAUUGUAACAAUUUCCUUUCCACCGGUGGAACGAAUAAUUGACGGUACCCGGAGAAGAAGCCCCGGCUAACUUCGUGACAGCAGCCGCAGUAAUACGAAGGGGGCUAGCGUUGCUCGGAAUUACUGGGCGUAAAAGGAGCGUACGCGGACUGAUAAGUUAGAGGUGAACGCCCAGGACUAACCUUUGGAUUGACUUUGAUCCUGGCAUCUUG
rnacentral:rRNA from 1 species